GAUGAACGCUAGCUACAGGCUUAACACAUGCAAGUCGCGGGGCAGCAUGGGGGUUGCUUGCAAUCCCCGAUGGCGACCGGCGCACGGGUGAGUAACGCGUAUCCAACCUGCCCUUCACCACGGGCUAACCCGGCGAAAGUCGGACUAAUACCGUAUGUUGUCCAUUGACGGCCUCCGAUUUGGACGAAAGGUUUGGCGGUGAAGGAUGGGGAUGCGUCCGAUUAGCUGGACGGCGGGGUGACGGCCCACCGUGGCGACGAUCGGUAGGGGUUCUGAGAGGAAGGUCCCCCACACUGGAACGGAGACACGGUCCAGACGCCUACGGGAGGCAGCAGUGAGGAAUAGUGGUCAAUGGGCGUAAGCCUGAACCAGCCAAGUAGCGUGCAGGAUGACGGCCCUAUGGGUUGUAAACUGCUUUUAUGCGGGGAUAAAGUGGCCCACGUGUGGGUUUUUGCAGGUACCGCAUGAAUAAGGACCGGCUAAGUCCGUG
rnacentral:rRNA from 1 species